rnacentral:rRNA from 1 species
GACGAACUGUGCAAACGUUAUUCGGAAUCACUGGGCUUGAAGAGUGCGUAGGCGGUUUCGUAAGUAGGGUGUGAAAGCCCCCAGCUCAACUGGGGAACUGCGUCCUAAACUGCGAGGCUGGAGUGAGGUAGGGGUGUGUGGAACUUCCGGUGGAGCGGUGAAAUGUGUUGAUAUCGGAAGGAACGCCGGUGGCGAAAGCGACACACUGGGCCUUGUCUGACGCUGAGGCACGAAAGCCAGGGGAGCAAACGGGG